AAUAGCCUAACGGCUGAACCAGCAAUUUGGAAGAAUGUAUAGCAAUAGCUGAUUGCACCAACAAAUAGUUGAUGCAAAAUUGAUUAUAUCAAAUAAAAUUCUAGGUAGAUUUUUGAUAAUGACAUUGCUUACCUAAGUCUUGACCAAAUUACGUGCCAGCAGUCGCGGUAAUACGUAAAAGACUAGUGUUAUUCAUCUUUAAUUGGUUUAAAGGGUACCUAGACAGCGAAUAAAGCCAUUGUAGGGACUAAUUCGCUAGAGUUACUUAUGAGGGGGUAUUAAAGUACUGCAGGUGUAGAGAUGAAAUUUUGUUAUACCUUUUUUCGUAUGAGAAUAUAUGGCACAGGUAUAGGUGAAAGCAUCCCCUUAUGUGAUAACUGACGUUGAGGGACGAAGGCUUUGUGUCGCGAACAGGAUUAGAUACCCCAGUAGUCAAAGCAGAAAAUGAUGAAUGUCAUAGAUUAGAUAUACAAUUUAUUCUAUAAAUGAAAGUGUAAGCAUUCCACCUCAAGAGUAAUUUGGCAACAUUGGAACUGAAAUCAUUAGACCGUUUCUGAAACCAGUAGUGAAGUAUGUUGUUUAAUUUGAUGAUACGCAAAAAACCUUACCACAAUUUGAAUAUUUAUAUAUAUCUUUUAUUGAUUUUUACUUACAUAUAUGUAAAUAAUUAAAAUGAUGCUUAAAUCUCGUUUGUGAGACUGAGCAUGAAAAAAGAUAAUAUAUUUACAAGCGUUGCACGGCUGUCUUCAGUUAAUGUCGUGAGAUUUUGGUUAGUUCCAUUAAAUUAACGUAAACCCUUACUUUAUUUUUAUAUAAAGUAGUUCCCCGCUAUAUUGGAUAUGAUAACAGGGACUAAGACAAGUCAUCAUGGCCUAAAUAUUGUGGGCUAUAGACGUGCCACAUAAACCUCACAAAAGGAUGUGAAAUUGUGAAAUUGAGCUAAUCCUCCAAAAAUGGAUAAACAUUUAAU
rnacentral:rRNA from 1 species